CGGGGGAGGCCGGAUCCUGGGCUGUGUCCCGGCGCCCUGUGCUCCAGAGAGCCUGCGCUGGUGGAUUCGCGCUCCCUCCCGCAGCCCCCU
rnacentral:pre_miRNA from 1 species